rnacentral:rRNA from 1 species
UACAGAGGGUGCAAGCGUUGUUCGGAAUCAUUGCGCGUAAAGCGCACGUAGGCGGCUUUGCAAGUCGGGUGUGAAAGCCUGGGGCUCAACCCCAGAAGUGCAUUCGAAACUGCAGAGCUUGAGUCUUGGAGAGGGCAGUGGAAUUCCGAGUGUAGAGGUGAAAUUCGUAGAUAUUCGGAGGAACACCAGUGGCGAAGGCGACUGCCUGGACAAAGACUGACGCUGAGGUGCGAAAGCGUGGGGAGCAAACAGG